rnacentral:tRNA from 1 species
AGAAUUAUAAAUUUAAAAAAAAGACUAACCGUCACUUAUGUCCAUAGAAGUACAACCUUCUUAAUUCU